UUUAAUUUGACAGAUUUAAUGUAUCAAAUUUAGAAUUUGAUUAUGGUGAUACCAAUUUUUAAAG
rnacentral:tRNA from 1 species